rnacentral:misc_RNA from 1 species
UCAGAGUGUUAAAACUCCCUAAACCUUUGUGAACAUACCUAUUGUUGCUUCGGUCGUGGGACUCAGUCUUCUGAGUUUUCCGGCCGAAGGUAUCAAACUCUUCUGUAUUGUGAAUCUCUGAGUUACACAAGCAAAUAAUCA